GAACGGCAGCACGGGAGCAAUCCUGGUGGCGAGUGGCGAACGGGUGAGUAAUACAUCGGAACGUGUCCUGUAGUGGGGGAUAGCCCGGCGAAAGCCGGAUUAAUACUGCAUACGAUCUACGGAUGAAAGCGGGGGACCUUCGGGCCUCGCGCUAUAGGGGCGGCCGAUGGCGGAUUAGCUAGUUGGUGGGGUAAAGGCCUACCAAGGCGACGAUCCGUAGCUGGUCUGAGAGGACGAUCAGCCACACUGGGACUGAGACACGGCCCAGACUCCUACGGGAGGCAGCAGUGGGGAAUUUUGGACAAUGGGCGAAAGCCUGAUCCAGCAAUGCCGCGUGUGUGAAGAAGGCCUUCGGGUUGUAAAGCACUUUUGUCCGGAAAGAAAACGUUCUAGCUAAUAUCUGGAGCGGAUGACGGUACCGGAAGAAUAAGCACCGGCUAACUACGUG
rnacentral:rRNA from 1 species